GCACCUGUGGCGAAAUUGGUAGACGCAAGGGACUUAAAAUCCCUCGCCGAAAGGCAUGCCGGUUCGACUCCGGCCAGGUGCACCA
rnacentral:tRNA from 1 species